rnacentral:rRNA from 4 species
CUGCCAGUGAUAAACUGGAGGAAGGUGGGGAUGACGUCAAGUCAUCAUGGCCCUUACGACCAGGGCUACACACGUGCUACAAUGGCAUAUACAAAGAGAAGCGACCUCGCGAGAGCAAGCGGACCUCAUAAAGUAUGUCGUAGUCCGGAUUGGAGUCUGCAACUCGACUCCAUGAAGUCGGAAUCGCUAGUAAUCGUAGAUCAGAAUGCUACGGUGAAUACGUUCCCGGGCCUUGUACACACCGCCCGUCACACCAUGGGAGUGGGUUGCAAAAGAAGUAGGUAGCUUAACCUUCGGGAGGGCGCUUACCACUUUGUGAUUCAUGACUGGGGUGAAGUCGUAACAAGGUAACCGUAGGGGAACCUGCGGUUGGAUCACCUCCUUA